GGUGACAACGCCUUUUCUUUUUAAACUGAUUCCAGCUGUUGUACAUCUUGGAGUAUUAUGGCGCUGGUUCACACCAGAUAUCCCCACAGAGAUGUUAUAUAAAGGAGAACUGAUGCGUUCAGACACUGCCAAGCGUAUUAGUUUAAUGGCUGUACCCGACACACAUAUGAUACUUGGGAUAAAUGCAGAAAAGGUUGACCUGAUCUUAAAGUCAAAGCCCAAGGAACAAGUUUAAUACCUGCACUCUUUCCACCGAGUAAAAAGAUAGCCAUAUACGUACGUACGUAAUCGAGCCUGCAUCACUAUGUACAUAUAUAGAUAUACCCCUCGGACAAUUCUGGUUUCUGUUUGUUAUCUUUGUAGAAAUUGUCGAUUUUGUAAUGUAGACAGGGUGAUUUUUUUU